UAUCUAUCAACAUGUUUUAGUUACAAAUCUUUUUAUUACUUCUUAUAAAUAUCAAAAGUGAUACUUCAAAAACAUCUAUUAGAAUUGUUUGAACAUACUUCAUAUAUCUUUAAAAACGUUUUCUGAUGUAUCUUAAAUUUAACUUGAUAUGAGAGAACCUAACUUGCAAAUGCUAUAUAAAAUAUUUAAGUUCUUAGAUUGAUGUUUAAUCCAAUCUGAGUCACUCUUAGUCUUGAAAAGACUUGUGAAAGAAUAUCUAACGGUGUGUUUGCAUUGCAUUUUAUUUUCUGUUUUAAUUUUCAAUAUUUUAUAUUUUCAGAAUGUUAUGAAGAAAAAAGAAAAAAUAAGAAGUAAAAGUAGAAAACAAAAUUUUAUUAUUUUCCCUUUUUUCUUCACUAAAUCCUGAAAAUAGAAACAUUGAAAAUCAAAACGCAAACCAAACACACCAUAAAAUUCUUAAAUUAGUGUUUGAUCUAAUGUAAGUCACUCUUAGUCUUAGUUUUGGAAAAGCUAAUGAAAAGAAUAUCUAAAGUUCUUAUAUUGAUAGUUGAUCUAAUUUGAUCAAUGCUUAGCCUGUCAAGGCUUAAGAAAGAAUAUUUAUUUGUAUACUCAAAUAGUGAAACUCACGUUUUCUUAAGAUUGCAACUCGUUCUAAAGAAAAAGUAAAUUUCAGAAGAAAACUUUAGGACUGUUAUAUUACAAGAACAUUACUUGAAGAUGAUAUAAUUUAUACAGAUUUUUUUUCAUGAAACUUAUGACAUUUACAAGGUAAGGAAAUUGCGAUUUAUUUCGCUGACUUGUAUACCACCUCAUGUAUAUUGAAGCAAAAGGGAGAUCAACUUAGGACGGGAAAA